GAUAUUAGAAGACAAACUUGAAUUACUUCAUAUGAACUUUAUUUCAUUUUAUAUGAAGUAAUUCAAGUUUGUCUUCUAAUCUUUUCAUCU
rnacentral:miRNA from 1 species